GCUUACGGCCAUACCAGCCCAAGAACGCCCGGUCUCGUCUGAUCUCGGAAGCUAAGAAGGCUCGGGCCUGGUUAGUACUUGGAUGGGAGAUCUCCUGGGAAUACCAGGUGCUGUAAGCU
ensembl:rRNA 5S_rRNA 5S ribosomal RNA